UACGUAGGUGGCAAGCGUUGUCCGGAUUUAUUGGGCGUAAAGCGCGCGCAGGCGGUCCUUUAAGUCUGAUGUGAAAUCUCGCGGCUCAACCGCGAGCGGUCAUUGGAAACUGGGGACUUGAGUGCAGAAGAGAAGAGCGGAAUUCCACGUGUAGCGGUGAAAUGCGUAGAGAUGUGGAGGAACACCAGUGGCGAAGGCGGCUCUUUGGUCUGUAACUGACGCUGAGGCGCGAAAGCGUGGGGAGCGAACAGG
rnacentral:rRNA from 1 species